GUGGGGAAUCUUGCGCAAUGAGCGAAAGCCUGACGCAGCCAUGCCGCGUGGAUGAUGAAGGUCUUAGGAUUGUAAAAUCCUUUCACCGGUGAAGAUAAUGACUGUAGCCGGAGAAGAAGCCCCGGCUAACUUCGUGCCAGCAGCCGCGGUAAUACGAAGGGGGCUAGCGUUGCUCGGAAUUACUGGGCGUAAAGGGCGCGUAGGCGGAUCGUUAAGUCAGGGGUGAAAUCCCAGAGCUCAACUCUGGAACUGCCCUUGAUACUGGCGAUCUUGAGUGUGAGAGAGGUAUGUGGAACUCCGAGUGUAGAGGUGAAAUUCGUAGAUAUUCGGAAGAACACCAGUGGCGAAGGCGACAUACUGGCUCAUUACUGACGCUGAGGCGCGAAAGCGUGGGGAGCAAACAGGAUUAGAUACCCGGGUAGUCC
rnacentral:rRNA from 1 species